CUUUGAAUCUUCUGUAUUUUAAGUUUACAUCAUUGGGCUCUUUAUGGUAUAAUUCUGUUGUUUGGAUAGUGUCUAAUUCUAGUAGAAACUUGGGAGGCAGUAUGGUUGCUUUAAUAUCUCCUCAGAUAUGAUAGAUUUCACUGGUGCCUUUAAGGAUGCUUAGAUUAUAAAUUGUUUGUAUUGAUUGAAAUACUCUUGGAAGAUCUUGGUUUUUACGGCGCUAAUAUGGUUGUAGUUCAGGCAAUUGCAAAGGCAUUGUUAAUCAUAUAGGUGUCUUUUCAUUCUUUUUUGGUAUGAGCUUUUAUUAUCAAGCCAGAUUCUUCUUUUGGCCUCUUUCGGAUGCAAAGCAUUCCUCUAAUUAAGAGGAGUAUUAUUUAGUUGAUCAGAUGUCUAAUGCAGGUUCUAGUCUGCUGCUGCCCGUUUUGAUCUUUGCUGCAAGUCUUGGUGCAGGGUCUUGACAUUGGUUUUAUUGGUUAGGAGAAUUUUGCCUUGACAUUGGGGUUUUGCUUCAAUUUUAUAUUAGCCUUUUAUGGCUCUUAGGCAACAUCCAAUUUUCCUUUCGGGUUAUCUAGUGUGGCUUUGUUGUUUAGUUCUAGUUUGCAUACUGUAACAGGCAGGCCUUGGUUUUCUUGUUUUGUCCUUUUACUCUAAACUCUUUCUCUUAGCAUAUCUUUUCUUAGGUUGAAUGUAUCUGGGUGGUCUAUCGACCAGAGUUUA
rnacentral:misc_RNA from 1 species